CAGGGAAGCUUGGUUAAAAACAGUUAUGGCAGUGGGAGUCGAAGCGAGGGUCUGAAGUUCACGACUACUAGAAGGGGAGGGGAGUGGAAAGGCUCUCAGUGAAAAAGGUCUUCUCAUAGCCUUUCUUUGCUAAGGACAUUGUGACUCUCCAGAGAGCAACAGUGAUGGCUCUAGAAUGUCUAGGAAAAAGAAGGGCUUAAUGUCAGGAGUCUGCUUGGGGCACACAACACUAGAAGAUGUCCUUCUGCACAUUGUUUCAUAUCGAGUAUGGAACCCUUCAGAUCAAAGCUUACCAAUAAAUUCAGUAUGUAGAACAGAUUAACGUAGUUGAAAUGAGGAAGAAUGAGAGUUAUCUCAACCAGCCAGCACCCCCUAUCCCCAUUCCCACACUUUCCCUCAUGGGAGGCUGUCGGGAGCACUUCGAAAACCACUGGAAAGGCCGGGCACGGUGGCUCAUGCCUGUAAUCCCAGCACUUUGGGAGGCCAAGGCAGGCAGAUCACCUGAGGUCAGGAGUUCGAAACCAGCCUGGCCAACAUGGCGAAACCCCAUCUUUACUAAAAAUACGAAAAUUAGCCAGGUGCGGUGGUGCAUACCUGUAAUCUCAGCUACUUGGGAGGCUGGGGCAAGAGAAUCACUUGAACCUGGGAGGCAGAGGUUGCAGUGAGCUGAGAUCGUGCCGUUGCACUCCAGCCUGGGUAACAGAGCGAGACUUCGUCUCAAAAAUAAAAAAAAAACCCAUUGGAAAAAUUCAUCCUCUCAUAAAUGACUUGAAAUGCCACCUCCGUAAUACACUACGUUAAAAAUUUUACAUACUCAAAUUGUUUUUCUCUUUUUGUGCCAGGUCAUACUUUAAGGAGCCCAAGAGCUUUAUAACAUAACAAAAGAAACUGAAAUGUCUAAUAAAUGUGUACAUAAC
rnacentral:lncRNA from 1 species